rnacentral:rRNA from 1 species
AUUGAACGCUGGCGGAAUGCUUUACACAUGCAAGUCGAACGGUAGAGGGGGCAACCCCUCGAGAGUGGCGAACGGGUGAGUAAUAUAUCGGCACGUGCCCAGUCGUGGGGGAUAACGUAGCGAAAGUUACGCUAAUACCGCAUACGAUCUAAGGAUGAAAGCGGGGGAUCGCAAGACCUCGCGCGAUUGGAGCGGCCGGUAUCAGAUUAGGUAGUUGGUGGGGUAAAGGCUCACCAAGCCAAGGAUAUGUAGCUGGUCUGAGAGGACCAACCGCCACACAGGAACUGAGGCAGGGUCCACACUCCUAAGGUAGGAAGCAGUGGGGAAUUUUGGACAAUGGACGCAAGUCUGAUCCAGCCAUUACGCGUGCAGGAUGAAGGCCCUCGGGUUGUAAACUGCUUUUGUACGGAACGAAAAGGUCUCUCUUAAUACGGGGGACUCAUGACGGUACCGUAAGAAUAAGCACCGGCUAACUACGUGCCAGCAGCCGCAGUAA